UCUCAUCCAGAUACUGUCUAUCCUCAGGGAGCUCCUUGGGUUCCUCUUUCUCUCUGUCCUGACCUCUGUGUCCAGUUCUUUCUUGGGCACCAGACAGUGCUAGGAUUGUAAACCAGGACUAGCAAUCAAAACCCAGGGGUGGAUGGACAUGGCUUUCUUCAUAAGAUCCCUGAAUAUGUCAGAGAUGGGAAGAGAGGUGUGAGCUGGGGAUCUGACACCUACAUGUUCUUCUAUGGUAGAGUGGAGUGAUAGCAAGGACAGACAAAACAAGGACAUUUUCCUCAGCACCAGGGGAAUUUCAGGACUUCAAGCCAGACGAGAUAAUAAGCAUAUACUGAAGACCAGCUGAGACAUCCAGCCUUGUGGACUGAGCAAAUACUACAUUCUUGGACUUGCCAUUCACAGCCAGUCAUUGUUGGAUUAGCUGGACCACAGCCUGUAAGUCAGUCUUAAUAAAUCACAUAUAUGUAUACACACA